rnacentral:rRNA from 1 species
GCCGACCACGGUCGGGUCAGCGACUGGGGUGAAGUCGUAACAAGGUAGCCGUAGGGGAACCUGCGGCUGGAUCACCUCCUUUCAAGGA